CACCAUAUAAGAAGUGCCUUUCACCUUCCACCAUGAUUCUGAGGCCUCCCCAUCCAUGUGGAACUAAAUGGAAUCUUACUCUGUUGCCCAGGCCAGAGUGCAUUGGCACCAUCACAGCAAAGUGCAGCCUCAACCUCCUGGGCUUGGCUAAAGCAAUCCUCCCACUUCAACCUCCUGAGUAGCUGGGACUGCAGGAAUGGGGACAAAGCUAUUGAAAACUUCUUCUCAGGCUCACUUCGCCAACAUCUGUGGCUGAAUGUAGACAUUCCCCCUUUUAGGCAAGUUUCUUUAAAUUCAUAGCAAGGUAUGACCAAGAACAUUAAAACAAUGCUUCAUUGCUUAUGCCUGACGUUGAAGAGCAAAAUUUACACCUGCUACACAGUUCAAGGUUUCCAUGGCCUUAGUAGAGGUCAUGAAAUGUACAGUUUUAAAACUUAUUGGAGUAUCUUUAUGGAACGAUUUUAAUGGACUAGAGUGACAAUAUUUUUAUACAACAUUGACCUCCCCUGCCCCAAAUGAUGUGAAAGACUGUGGCUGUAUUAGAAUUUAGUCUAGUAAGACCAAUACCAUUUCAGGGAGUUUUUUGUAGUUUUCCUCCAUAAAUACAUUUUCCACAUCAACUGCUCUGAGCUGAGUUGCUGGAACAUUUUCAAUUCUUUAUAAGUACAUAUUUUGGCUGAGUUCAGAAACCUUGGACUAGGCACUGUCCUUUGAGUGAGACGUCAGGAUUGAGGUAGCAUAGGCACAAGACCAAAUUUUAGUUCAUGAUGGAGUAUUGCCAGCUUGUGAGCCUCUGGUGCUUUCAAGGAAGCACAGGUGAUGGAAAUCAAAUAAAAACAGAGCCAGGAAAACAUCUGGUGUGGAAAGUAGCUCAUUGCAUAAAAUGCUAAAAACAAAAAGUUGAGAAAGUUAAGCCUCUUCUACUUUUUAAAAGAAAAAUUUGACUCUACCAAUCAUAACCACAAGGAAUGUUCUCCAGACUUGAAUAUUUUAAGUGAAAGAUUAAUAUCCAGCCAUUUAUAAACCUCCAAAUCCUUUCCCCAACUUUAUUCAUACCAUUUUUUAUUAUAAACUUUCAAAAAAUUCACUGAUCUAGUUUGGAAAAAUCAUGUCCUUGAACUGUUGAACCAUAUUUGUAAUCUGUUUCAAUAAAAAUAUAGAUAUAAUACUUAGAAAAACAGA